rnacentral:rRNA from 1 species
UACUUUGACUCUGGCCUCAAAUCAGGUAGGACUACCCGCUGAACUUAAGCAUAUCAAUAAGCGGAGGAAAAGAAACUAACAAGGAUUCCCUUAGUAACGGCGAGUGAACCGGGAAGAGCUCAAAUUUGUAAUCUGGCUGUCUUCGAUAGUCCGAGUUGUAAUCUAUAGAAGCGUUUUCCGUGCUGAACUGUGUAUAAGUCCCUUGGAACAGGGUAUCAAAGAGGGUGACAAUCCCGUACUUUACACAAUCAUCAGUGCUCUGUGAUACGUUCUCUACGAGUCGAGUUGUUUGGGAAUGCAGCUCAAAAUGGGUGGUAAAUUCCAUCUAAAGCUAAAUAUUGGCGAGAGACCGAUAGCGAACAAGUACCGUGAGGGAAAGAUGAAAAGCACUUUGGAAAGAGAGUUAAACAGUACGUGAAAUUGUUAAAAGGGAAACGAUUGAAGUCAGUCGUGUUUAUUGGAUUCAGCCGGUCUUCGGUGUACUUCCUUUAAACGGGUCAACAUCAGUUUUGUUCGGUGGAUAAAGGUAUUAGGAAUGUGGCUUCUUCGGAAGUGUUAUAGCCUAGUAUUGCAUACACUGGAGGAGACUGAGGACUGCAGCUCGCCUUUAUGGCCGGGGUC